GACGAACCGUACGAACGUUAUUCGGAAUCACUGGGCUUAAAGGGUGCGUAGGCGGCGCGACAAGUUGGGUGUGAAAUCCCUCGGCUCAACCGAGGAACUGCGCCCAAAACUGUCGUGCUCGAGGGAGACAGAGGUGAGCGGAACUUAGGGUGGAGCGGUGAAAUGCGUUGAUAUCCUAAGGAACACCGGUGGCGAAAGCGGCUCACUGGGUCUCUUCUGACGCUGAGGCACGAAAGCGAGGGUAGCGAACGGG
rnacentral:rRNA from 1 species